AGAGUUUGAUCCUGGCUCAGGAUGAACGCUAGCUACAGGCUUAACACAUGCAAGUCGAGGGGCAGCAUGGUCUUAGCUUGCUAAGACCGAUGGCGACCGGCGCACGGGUGAGUAACGCGUAUCCAACCUUCCCUAUAGUAGGGGAUAGCCCGGCGAAAGUCGGAUUAAUACGCUAUGUGGUGCAGUAUUGCCAUCAUGGCCGCACGAAAGAUUUAUCGCUGUGGGAUGGGGAUGCGUCUGAUUAGCUUGUCGGCGGGGUAACGGCCCACCGAGGCGACGAUCAGUAGGGGUUCUGAGAGGAAGGUCCCCCACAUUGGUACUGAGACACGGACCAAACUCCUACGGGAGGCAGCAGUGAGGAAUAUUGGUCAAUGGCCGGAAGGCUGAACCAGCCAAGUAGCGUGCAGGACGACGGCCCUACGGGUUGUAAACUGCUUUUAUAGGGGAAUAAAGUGUGGUACGUGUACCGUUUUGUAUGUACCCUAUGAAUAAGGACCGGCUAAUUCCGUGCCAGCAGCCGCGGUAAUACGGAAGGUCCGGGCGUUAUCCGGAUUUAUUGGGUUUAAAGGGAGCGCAGGCGGGACCUUAAGCGUGUUGUGAAAUGUACCGGCUCAACCGGUGAUGUGCAGCGCGAACUGGGGUUCUUGAGUGGGUACGACGUCGGCGGAAUUCGUGGUGUAGCGGUGAAAUGCUUAGAUAUCACGAGGAACCCCGAUUGCGAAGGCAGUCCGCGAGUCCUUUACUGACGCUAAAGCUCGAAGGUGCGGGUAUCGAACAGGAUUAGAUACCCUGGUAGUCCGCACGGUAAACGAUGGAUGCCCGCUGUAUGCGAUAGACAGUAUGCGGCCAAGCGAAAGCGUUAAGCAUCCCACCUGGGGAGUACGCCGGCAACGGUGAAACUCAAAGGAAUUGACGGGGGCCCGCACAAGCGGAGGAACAUGUGGUUUAAUUCGAUGAUACGCGAGGAACCUUACCCGGGCUUGAACUGCAGCUGAACGAUUCAGAGAUGAUGAGGCCCUUCGGGGCAGCUGUGGAGGUGCUGCAUGGUUGUCGUCAGCUCGUGCCGUGAGGUGUCGGCUUAAGUGCCAUAACGAGCGCAACCCCUGUCUUCAGUUGCCAUCAGGUGAAGCUGGGCACUCUGUAGAGACUGCCACCGUAAGGUGUGAGGAAGGCGGGGAUGACGUCAAAUCAGCACGGCCCUUACGUCCGGGGCUACACACGUGUUACAAUGGCCGGUACAGAGGGCAGCCACCUGGUGACAGGGAGCGAAUCUCGAAAGCCGGUCUCAGUUCGGAUCGGAGUCUGCAACUCGACUCCGUGAAGUUGGAUUCGCUAGUAAUCGCGCAUCAGCCAUGGCGCGGUGAAUACGUUCCCGGGCCGUGCACACACAGCCCGUCAAG
rnacentral:rRNA from 1 species